GGCCGCCUCCCCACAACCCUUCCCUCUCCGGCGCCCACUCGCUGCCCCUCUGCGCCCGCGGAAGGCGCCCGGAGUCUUGCUAGACAUUGACCACGUGGUCUGGUCUCGGUCCGCGGGACCGGUUUAAUCAUCUCAGGUCCCAGCCCCCGGGCACGCGAGCGCUAAUCUGAGUGAAUUGCACUGAAGCUGGAAAACGGACUGACCCCUCCCACACUCCUGUCUCCACCUCUACACUCCAGGCUUGGACAUCCACCCGCCUUCUCAACGCCUCCGUGUAGAGGCCUAAUAGACAUCGCAAAUGUAACGCUUCUGGCACUGAUCGCUGCCUGCAAUGACGUGUGCUUAUUGUGUCUCUCCCUCUCCGAGGACAGAGGCCUGUUCUGUCCUGUUGUCGGCUGUGCCCCCGAUGGAAAGGGAACAAUGGGACACACGAAACGAUGAGCUUCCGAAGGGAGGAACUGUGGUUGCCCCAGGCUCUCCAGCCCAGCACCAGGCCUGUGGUGGACCUAAUAAACAUUGAUCGAGUGGCUGCCUCUCUUGCUCAAGAGUCCCUGCCGAGUCUCCGUGCCCACAGGAGCGGUCUGCAGAACUCAAACCCGUCGCUGCCGAAGACCCAGCUCUCCUACCAAAAGAAACAAAAAGACUUUUUCCAGACAAGAACACUUGUAGUUUUAGCAGCAUUCUGUUAUUGCAUUUGCUGGUUAUGACACAAAUGUUGCAGUAGGGUUACUGGGAGUAAAUUGUAUUGCUAAUAACUAAAAACACAAAUCAGCCCUGACCGGUUUGGCUCAGUGGAUAGAGCGUCGGCCUGUGGACUGAAAGUUCCCAGGUUCGAUUCCGGUCAAGGGCAUGUACCUUGGUUGUGGGCACAUUCCCAGCAGAAGGUGUGCAGGAGGCAGCUGAUCGAUGUUUCUCUCUCAUUGAUGUUUCUCUCUGUCCCUCUCCCUUCC